UACGGAGGGUGCAAACGUUGCUCGGAAUCAUUGGGCGUAAAGCGCACGUAGGCGGUUCGUUAUGUCGGAUGUGAAAGCCCUUGGCUUAACCGAGGAAGUGCAUCCGAAACUGGCGAGCUAGAGUACGAAAGAGGAUCGCGGAAUUCCCGGUGUAGAGGUGAAAUUCGUAGAUAUCGGGAGGAACACCGGUGGCGAAGGCGGCGAUCUGGGCAACUGCUGACACUGAGGCGCGACAGCGUGGGGAGCAAACAGG
rnacentral:rRNA from 1 species